CACGAAAGUUCUUCUGUUUUAAAAAAACACUCAAGGAAAUUGAAUUUGUAGUGAAGAUGCUACAUUAAAAUUGUUAGACGAGAAGUCCCCAUGGAGCUUUACUGAAAGCCUAAAAAAAAUUUUUUNNAUUUAUUUAUAGGUUAGACAGUUUUGUUGGGGUGAUAGUUUUUUAAAAAGUAACGAAAACGAACUAUGACGCAUGUUUCACUCUGAAAACUUGAAGAGACAUUUGGGGUGUGUUUUAUGAUCUAUUGUUUUGAAUGAAAAAGAUAAUGAAAGCA
rnacentral:rRNA from 1 species